rnacentral:rRNA from 1 species
AUUGAACGCUGGCGGCAAGCCUAACACAUGCAAGUCGAACGGAGCGGCGGACGGGUGAGUAAUGCCUAGGAAUCUGCCUGGUAGCGGGGGAUAACGUCCGGAAACGGGCGCUAAUACCGCAUACUAUCAGAUCAGCCUAGGUCGGAUUAGCUAGUGGGUGGGGUAAUGGCCUACCAGGGCGACGAUCCGUAACUGGUCUGAGAGGAUGAUCAGUCACACUGGAACUGAAAAACGGUCCAGACUCCUACGGGAGGCAGCAGUGGGGAAUAUUGGACAAUGGGCGAAAGCCUGAUCCAGACAGGCCGCGUGUGUGAAGAAGGUCUUCGGAUUGUAAAGCACUUUAAGUUGGGAGGCGUUACCAACAGAAUAAGCACCGGCUAACUUCGUGCCAGCAGCCGCGGUAAUAC